CGUAGACAGACGAGGGUCUGCCAAGGAGCUUUUGCAGCAUCCAUUUUUAAAAUUAGCCAAGCCUCUCUCCAGCCUGACUCCUCUAAUCAUUGCAGCAAAGGAAGCAAUUAAGAACAGCAGCCGCUAGCAUUGUGGGCUGGCUUUACCCCCGGCCAGCUACCUCCAGAGCAGGACUGAACAAAACUCUGUAAAACCUCAAUUCUUGUGCUGCAGGACAGGCAGACAUAAGGACAAAUAGUCACAGUCAUGAUGGAGGCCAGCUGCUUUCCAGCUCUUUGAGGACUAGAAACCUAUCAUGUGUCUUCUUCCUGCUCUCUGAUUCCUUAACUUAUUUCUGAUAUCGAACGGGGUCCAAAACUGAGCCGCAAGGCCAGAAAUCACCUUGCUGUCUCAGCCAUUUCGAAGGUCAAAGAAACUCAGUAGUAAGACUCCCAGUGGCCAUCCUAUGCAUUCACCUUUAAAGGAUUGGUUGGUUCUUAAAGAUUCACAAUCACUUUUCUGAGUUUUUCGGUUUGGUUUGGAAUUGAAGAAGGGUCCUCCUGCGCUGAGAAACUUCCUCUAGGCUGGAUACAACCCACUUGCUAAUAUUGGCCCAUUCAUGGUUCCAUUAGAUGGUAAGAAUGAAAGUGAAAUUGCUUUUCCAACCUAAAAUAAAUCAAGCGCCAAGCAGGAAGAGAAUCCCGUUGAGCUACACACUUUCAGCUGUGAGAGUUUGGGUCCUUGGCAGUUGGAUUUGGUGAGGGUCUGGUAAUCAGAAAAGCAAGAAGGCCACCACGUUUGUUCAGAAAGGGUUUGUGUGAUAUGAAGCUGUAAUAAAAAUGGACUGGUUUUGCCA